UUUAAGUAUUUUAAUAAGAAAAUAACAUUGUAAAUGUUUUAGUAACUAUCGUUCUUAGAG
rnacentral:tRNA from 1 species